GAUGUAGGCUAAGCAACAAACAUGUAUCCCAUAAAUCAAUCCCCUUCAAUUAAUGUUUGUUUCGUGCAGCUCUACGCCAGAAGAACAGUGGGCAGUGGAUCAAACCCCUUCAACAGUGUUCAUUUAAAAGAGGAAACAAGCCCAUCUCAUCUGAACCUGAACAGGCUGUUAAUAUUCCUCUAUUACCUGGGUCUAUAGCCUCGGUCCCCAGGUGCUGCUGGGCCCCAUGCCAGCCAUCUGUUCCAGCAGGCACGGGGCCCGGCUGUGCGGGGCUCAUCUGCAGCUAAGGCCAGUGGCAGGUGAUCUCCCAUUGUGUAAUGGAUGAGGCCUUCCCGCUGGAAGAAAGGGCAGCUGCCAGAGUGAUACUCAGAUUUAUUUAGAGAUGUUCAUUCCCACACAUUCUCCAGAGACUUGAAUGAUUUAACACACACCAAACAAUGUGAGCUCAUGUAGAAAACCAAAACAUUUAAAGGAUUUUAUCACAUCAUUAAUAAAUUAUCAUAGAUAUGAUCUGCAUAUUCUAUUCUGUACCUAGGCUAGCCAUACACAUACUGUAUAGAUACUGUAUGACACCUCUAUAAGCGGAUAAAACUUGUCCUGACAUGUUGUCCAUCUAUAAAGUCCUAAAGUAUACCUCUUUCUCAAUCCUCCACAGAAGAAUCUCUACAAAUACUGUCUGUGAUUGAUGAUAUCUUCCUCUGUAAUCCCUCUCUGACUUAUUUCUCUGAGAGGUUGUAUUCUUUAUUCUAGGUCUCCAGGGUUGCCUCUACAGUGAAGCACAGGCUAAUAUGAGCUGCAGCGCAAGCCUAGCUAGCUGUACCCAGUCAUCAUCCUGAAAGGAGGUUAAUGUGGUGUGGCUGUGAGCUACUUCCAGUUCCCCUGCCUCUCAUCCGCCUGCCUGCCUACUCACUGCCAUGUAAUUGUGUUAUUACGUCGUAGGAUUGUCAGAGGACUCCUGGGCCCCAGUGAAGAUGUCUGAGCACGGAGCAGCAGUGCCUGUGGAAGUUAACUUGACAUAUAAAUUGCUAUCUGACUACCCGGAGAUAGAUAAAUGCAUCUCGCCAGAGAACAGAUGCAGGGAGCAGUGACCUGACAUCGCUUUUGACAGACUCUAUGUCGUCUCUUUCGCUUCUCCCCUCAUUUAUUUUCUCUCACUCACUUGCUGUCUCUCUGUUCACUUUGUCAGCUGCUGUUUCUUCCUUUGAUAUCUUUACUACAAGAGUUUCCACUGACGGAAGAGUCUGAACCAUGUUUGCCAUGGGAUUACUGGGCUUUGUAGGAGUAGAGACAGGUUGGGGACAGUUGGUUAUGCAUUGUGGUGAAUUGACUCAUGUUGUUGAGGUCACAAGUCAGGUCACAAACGUCAUCAUGAAUAUUUAGGUCAAAUGCAUAUUGAAUUAGCCUGGUCUCUUUGUGCUGUUUUGCCAACGCAUAUGAUGGGACUAAGCUAAUGAUGUAUAACUUUCCCAGAUGCUUAGCAAUGACCUUGCAGUAAGAAAAGGAACCAUCAGCUUACAGUUACAUUGCAUUCAGAAAGUAUUCAGACCCCUUGACUUUUUCCACAUUUUGUUACAUUACAGCCUUAAUUCUAAAAUGUAUUAAAUAUUUUUUUCCCCUCACCAAUCUACACACAAUACCCCAUAAUGUCAAAGCAAAAACAGGUUUUUAGACAUUUAUGCAAAUGUAUAUAAAAAAACGGAAAUAUCACAUUUACAUAAGUAUUCAGACCCUCUACUCAAUACUUUGAUGAAGCACCUUUGUCAGUGAUUACAGCCUCGAGCUGAUCGUGGACUACAGGAAAAGGCGGACCGAACAGGCCUCAAUUAACAUCAAUGGGGCUGUAGUAUAGCGGGUCGAGAGUUUCAAGUUCCUUGGUGUCCACAUCACCAACAAACUAUCAUGGUCCAAACACACCAAGACAGUCGUGAAGAGGGCACAACAAACCUUUUUCCCCUCAGGAGAGUGAAAAUAUUUGGCAUGGGUCCCCAGAUCGUCAAAGAUUUCUACAGCUGCACCAUCGAGAGCAUCCUGACCGGUUGUAUCACCGCCUGGUAUGGCAACUGCUCGGCAUCUGACCGUAAGACACUACAGAGGGUAGUGCGUAAGGCCCAGUACAUCACUGGCCAAGCUUCCUGCAAUCCAAGACCUAUAAAAUAGGCGGUGUCAGAGGAAAGCCCAUAAAAUUGUCAGAGACUCCAGUCAACCAAGUCAUAGACUGUUUUCUCUGCUACCUCACGGCAAGCGGUACCAGAGCGCCAAGUCUAGGACCAAAAGGCUCCUCAACAGCUUCUAACCCCAAGCCAUAAGACUGUUGACAAUUAAUCAAAUGGCCACCGGACUAUUACAUUGACCCUCCCCCUCCAUUUGUUUUGUACACUGCUGCCACUCACUGUUUAUUAUCUAUGCAUAGUCACUUCACCCCAACCUACAUGUACAAAUGACCUCAACUAACCUGUACCCCCGCACACUGACUCGGUAUUGGUACCCCCUGUAUAUAGCCUCGUUAUUGUUAUGUUAUUGUGUUACUUUUUAUUAUUUUAAAUUCUUUACUUUAGUUUAUUUGGUAAAUAUUUUCUUAACUCUUCUUGAACUGCACUGUUGGUUAAGGGCUUGUAAGUAAGCAUUUCACGGUAAGGUCUACACUUGUUGUAUUCUGCGCAUGUGACAAAUAAAGUUUGAUUUGAUUUGAGUCUUCUUGGGUAUGACGCUACAAGCUUGGCACACCUGUGUUUGGUGAGUUUCUCCCAUUCUUCCCUGCAGAUCCUCUCAAGCUCUGUCAGGUUGGAUGGGGGAGUGUUGCUGCACAGCUAUUUUCAGGUCACUCCAGAGAUGUUCGAUCGGGUUCAAGUCCGGGCUCUGGCAUCUCAAGGAUGAUAAAUGAAAACAGGAUAUGCCUGAGCUCAAUUUCGAGCAAAGGCUCUGAAUACUUAUGUAAAUACGUUUUUUUUUUUUUUUGCAAAAAAACAAAUAUGUUUUCGCUUUGUCAUUAUGGGGUAUUGUGUGUAGAUUGCUGAGGAUUUUUAUUCUUUAAUACAUUUUAGAAUAAGGCUGUGACAUAACAAAAUGUGGAAAAAGUCAAGGGGUCUGAAUACUUUCCGAAGGCACUGUAUGUUUUUCAAGAUGAUGUAGUUCACAUCAACCUCUGUAUGUUGUUAAUUAAGGAAACGUGGUGAUGAUGUUAUUGAUUCUAUCUUCAUACAGUAAUUCAGCUGAUCACACGCGACAGUACAUGUCUAGUCAUUGUGCUCUGUUUAUUGCAGCAAAACAGAGCAGAUUCUGCGCCUCCAUGCUCCAGCUCUUACAGUGACAAUUUAAAUCCAGCUAUGUUUGUGCAGCUGAGGUGUCACGACUUCCGAACAAGACGUCACCGGCUUUCUAGUCACCACCGAUCCAUGUUUCAUUUUCGUUUUGUUUUGUCUGUAUUACACACACCUGGUUUCAAUUCCCAUAUCAUGUUCCUUAUUUAACCCUCUGGCAUACAUUUCUGUUCUCUCCGUGAUUGUUGGUGUCUUAAUGGUUGUUGUAGGUGUUAGUUUGUAUUGCUUGGAUUUUUGUGAGUAAACUCAGUUGUGUUGCUCAAA